rnacentral:rRNA from 1 species
UACGUAGGGUGCAAGCGUUAUCCGGAAUUAUUGGGCGUAAAGAGCUCGUAGGCGGUUUGUCGCGUCUGCUGUGAAAACUGGGGGCUCAACCCCCAGCCUGCAGUGGGUACGGGCAGACUAGAGUGCGGUAGGGGAGAUUGGAAUUCCUGGUGUAGCGGUGGAAUGCGCAGAUAUCAGGAGGAACACCGGUGGCGAAGGCGGAUCUCUGGGCCAUAACUGACGCUGAGGAACGAAAGCGUGGGUAGCGAACAGG